GGCGUAUUCGACAAGAGGCCUAAGUCAUCGGACUUUCUAUCCGAUAUCGCCGGUUCGAAUCCGGCAUACGUCA
rnacentral:tRNA from 1 species